CUGCGUUCCCGCCCGGCGCGCGGGGAUCGAGGUUGGGCGCGGGCUCAAGCUCGGGAACCCUAAGCUUGGGGAUGCUCUUUCCUCUGGGCUGCAGCCGCUUUUCCUCGCUUUUCUGCUGCCUGUCCUUCUCUCCUGACCCCGGGUGUCGUCUCCAGUGCCCGCUGGCAGGUCUGACUCUCCGAUGCCACCUGCCGCUCGGGUCCGCAGCAACCACCGCGCCAUCUCAGACACACCAAGGCCGGUCGGAAUGGAAAGCUGAGCAAGAGCCCCUCAGACGUGCGCACGCCCAGCAAGCUUAAUGUCAGGGCACAGCAUGGCCAGGGAGGACAGUGUUGGCACGGAGUGAACAUGAACUUUCAUACGAAGUCUGGAUAACAUGGAUGAAUUGAAAAAUAAACAAACCAGACAGACAGAUUCACACUGGGCAAAAAGAUGUGAGAAACAAAUGGACAGACAGAAGCAAGUGUUCGAGCUGCACCUACUAGAUGGACAAGCAGCUCCUGCUAAAGGGGCUUGCAGAUGGGCAGACAGAGCCGGAGCCUAACACCCAAGAAAGAGAAGGACGAGAAUGUACACUACCUCUCCAAGAUGCUGGGCU